rnacentral:SRP_RNA from 1 species
CCGUGCUAUAUGGGGAGCUGGCGGUGCCCUGUAACCUGCAACCCGCCAUAGCAGGAUAGAACACCCACCGAGGCAUUCUCUAUGGAAAACCGGUACGAAUAAGGGAUGUUGAUAACAAGGUCUUGUGCAAUUUUGCGUUGUGAACCGUGUCAGAGCUUGACCGCAGCAGCACUAAACAAAUAGUGAGAUGUGCCACAAGGAAGCUUUGGAGGAGUUACCUAUUCGAUAUACGAUUCGGUAGGACUUGUCGGAGUGGGCGCACGG